CCCUUAGAUGUUCUGGGCCGCACGCGCGCUACACUGAAUGGAUCAACGUGUUUUCCCUUCCCGAGAGGGACGGGUAACCCGCUGAACCCCAUUCGUGGUAGGGAUCGGAGCUUGCAAUUGUUCUCCGUGAACCAGGAAUUCCUAGUAAACGCAAGUCAUCAACUUGCAUUGAUUACGUCCCUGCCCUUUGUACACACCGCCCGUCGCACCUACCGAUUGAAUGGUCCGGUGAAGCCUCCGGAUUGGCGCGCACCUCGGUGCCGCCGAGAAGUUGGCUAAACCUUACCAUUUAGAGGAAGGUGAAGUCGUAACA
rnacentral:rRNA from 1 species